CUAGUUUAUCUAAAAUUAUGUCUGUUUUGGUAAUUUAAAAUACCCAUAAGAUGUGAUUAUAAGUGUAUGAAAAAAAAGGAUGUGUAUUUAGUAUUUAGGAGCGUGUGAAUAAAAUUUCUCUUAUUAUAAACACACACAUUCAUAAAAACAAGCAUCAACUUCAACCCUCUGCAAAAUUGCAAUUCACUCAACUCACUCUAUGCAUCAAUGCAGGGGAUGAAAAAACAGCUAAUCUCUAGAUUCCAAUUACUUGGAUUCAUAAAAUUCAUCACACAAGAAAAGGCUAUCAAACUUUAAACACAAACAACUAAAUAUUUACCACACUCAGAAACAAAAUCAAAGUCAAAAUUGAGGUAGGAGAUAUACCGAAUGUGUUGCUGACGCGGAUGCCAAACCUUGAACAUAUAUGAACCGAUCACCAACCGAUCUCCAGUUCCUCUUCCUCCUCCUUGAGUAUAUAUGAAGCAAGUCAACAAACAACCACUUUUAAAUAACCAGAAUGAACAAGCCAAUAGGUGAAUCAAAACCCCUAAACUCACAAUCGAACCUUUAAUCUAUAAAACCCAGUGAAUCAAAACGAAUAACGAAAUCUAUAAAAUCCUAAAAAGAAAAACGAUACGAAGUAUGAGAGAGAGAGAGGGGGUUACCUAAUCGAGAGAGGUAGCAAGUCCGAACGGCUGGGUAGAGCAGAGAGAGAUAGAGAGUGUGUUUGUGUGUGUGAUGAAAAGAAAGGGCUGUGUAGAGCUCGAGGUCGAGAGUGUGUUUCGAGACUUAGCGUGUUUUGAGAGAGUGAUGAAAGAGAGCACUGCCUUUAGGUGCAAGACCUUUCUAACCUAAAUGUUUUGUAAUCUUGAUCACACAACAUAAAAAUGAUAUCUGACUUCACAAACAAAUUAGUCACUACUAGCCUAGCCCGACUCCCAACGAAACCUCUAAACCCUCUUUUCGGUCAAUUGUUUUUGACUUAUUUAUGUAUUCAUCAAACGACAUAUAUAUGUAGUCUGUAUUGAAUAAAGAAAGAUCGAUACAUGUUGACCGCAUCGACCGAGACCCGAACAUCUUCUAAAAUCGCUGAAUUUUGUACC
rnacentral:lncRNA from 1 species